GCUGCACUGGGCGAGGACGUGCGCGUGGUCGACGCCCGUGCAACGGCGAGCACCGCCGUGCGUGUGGUCGAUGCGCGCGCGUCGCU
rnacentral:tRNA from 1 species